GAGACCCCAACACUCGUCGGUCCACCUCCCAGACUGGAGUGCAGUGGUGCGAUCACAGCUUACUGCAGCCUCUCCUCCAGGGCUCAAGCCAGCCUCCCAGGUACAGCACUGGCUUCCUCUGGGCAGAUUUUGCCAACUCAGAGCCCCUUUUAUUCUGAACCCUGGACCAUGGGCAUGUGGUGGACAGAAUAAUGAUGCCCUUCAAGAUGCCCACAUCCUAAUCUCCAGAACCUGGCAGAGGAAGGAAGCCAAAAUAAGGAAGAAGAAAGAAAAGGAGCUCAGCCCUUCCUUCUCCUGUGGAGCCUCCCCAGCCCACCAGGGAACAUCACCUCCACCAAUUGCCACAGCAGACCCACUAUGUGCCAGUCACAUAUUUGG